AGAAACACUAGAAGACUAAAUGAUGUUUUCUCCGUCUAUCUUUAGAUGCGCAGUGAUUUCUAGCAUUCCGGCUGGUGUUUCCUCCACCUACACAUGUAACAAUAUGGAGGGUCGAUACGUGAAUCUGUUCCUUCCUGGAGAUUCAAAGUAUCUUACUCUGUGUGAGGUGGAGGUCUAUGGAGAAGAUCCUUCUUUCCAAGAAGACUCUUGUGAAGAUGAAACUGAAGUUUGAGUCUGUCUGAACCUCCAGCUCCUGUCACAGCUUCAGUCUGCUUUGGUGGAACGAGGGUUUUCUGACAUGAUGCUGCUGUGGUCUCAACUGCACAAAAAGGAAUUGAUGUUGAAGGAAGCUUUGCCAAG